rnacentral:rRNA from 1 species
GAUGAACGCUGGCGGCGUGCCUAAUACAUGCAAGUCGAGCGAACAGACGAGGAGCUUGCUCCUCUGACGUUAGCGGCGGACGGGUGAGUAACACGUGGAUAACCUACCUAUAAGACUGGGAUAACUUCGGGAAACCGGAGCUAAUACCGGAUAAUAUAUUGAACCGCAUGGUUCAAUAGUGAAAGACGGUUUUGCUGUCACUUAUAGAUGGAUCCGCGCCGCAUUAGCUAGUUGGUAAGGUAACGGCUUACCAAGGCAACGAUGCGUAGCCGACCUGAGAGGGUGAUCGGCCACACGGGAGCUGAGACACGGUCCAGACGCCUACGGGAGGCAGCAGUAGGGAAUCGUCCGCAAUGGGCGAAAGCCUGGCGGAGCAGCGCCGCGUGAGUGAUGAAGGUCUUCGGAGCGUAAAACUCUGUUAUGAGGGAAGAACAAAUGUGUAAGUAACUAUGCACGUCUUGACGGUACCUAAUCAGAAAGCCACGGCUAACUACGUG